rnacentral:lncRNA from 1 species
CAUGAGGCAGUUGAGGUUUUCGGCUGUCAGACUCUGGACCGUGGGUGAAGUUUGGUGAUGAUAGGGGGUAUAGUUUGUUUUUCUAAAGAUGUGUCGUUAGCAGCAGAACAGUUUGCCAGACUUCUAUAUGUACUCUCUGUUUGUAUACUUGCGGCUUGAUCUAAAAUUAUCUAACCUUGUUAUAGUUUCUUUGGAGAAGUUAAUCUUGUCAUAAUUUCCAUCACUUUGCUUUAGAGAUCUCCAUUGUCUCUCUACUUGGGUAUGGAGUUCAGUGGGAGAAUCUCGUUUGUGCCAAUCUGGCUCAUUAAUUUCCUCUGUGGUACAAAUGUCGUUCGAGUUUAGCUGGCGGAUGCUGGCUCACCAAUACAGAUCAGGUCCCUCUUCCUAAAUUUGGUGAAGUUCUAAAAUCAAGUGCAAUAGGUUUAUCUUUAUGAAGUUGCUCUCUCUUUUUGCUUGAAGGAAUGUAGGGCGGAACUUUCAAGAAUCCAUUAAAAUCUGAAUUGUCUCAAUUUGAUGUAAAUGCCAAUGUCCUCUUGCCUCUAACUUUA